GAUGAACGCUGGCGGCGUGCCUAAUACAUGCAAGUCGAGCGAACGGACGAGAAGCUUGCUUCUCUGAUGUUAGCGGCGGACGGGUGAGUAACACGUGGAUAACCUACCUAUAAGACUGGGAUAACUUCGGGAAACCGUAGCUAAUACCGGAUAAUAUUUUGAACCGCAUGGUUCAAAAGUGAAAGACGGUCUUGCUGCCACUUAUAGAUGGAUCCGCGCUGCAUUAGCUAGUUGGUAAGGUAACGGCUUACCAAGGCAACGAUGCAUAGCCGACCUGAGAGGGUGAUAGGCCAAACUGGAACUGAGACACGGUCAAGACUCCUACGGGAGGCAGCAGUAGGGAAUCUUCCGCAAUGGGCGAAAGACUGACGGAGCAAAGCCGCGUGAGUGAUGAAGGGCUUCGGAUCGUAAAACUCUGUUAUUAGGGAAGAACAUAUGUGUAAGUAACUGUGCACAUCUUGACGGUACCUAAUCAGAAAGCCACGGCUAACUACGUG
rnacentral:rRNA from 1 species